AGGAGUCCGUAGGGCGCCGGUUAGAGUGGCACGCCAUUGCGGCUGCUCAAAUGGCCCACAUUGUGGCUGCUCGGGCACGGGAGCUUGCUGAGGAGAGCGAGCGCGAGAAGGAGGCGCGCGAGGCGGCGGUGAAAACGGCUAAGGAAAAACUGAAGGCCGCCGAG